rnacentral:rRNA from 1 species
ACGCUGGCGGCGUGCUUAACACAUGCAAGUCGAGCGAUGAAGCUUCUUCGGAAGUGGAUUAGCGGCGGACGGGUGAGUAACACGUGGGUAACCUGCCUCAUAGAGGGGAAUAGCCUUCCGAAAGGAAGAUUAAUACCGCAUAAGAUUGUAAUAUCGCAUGAUAUAGCAAUUAAAGGAGUAAUCCGCUAUGAGAUGGACCCGCGUCGCAUUAGCUAGUUGGUGAGGUAACGGCUCACCAAGGCGACGAUGCGUAGCCGACCUGAGAGGGUGAUCGGCCACAUUGGGACUGAGACACGGCCCAGACUCCUACGGGAGGCAGCAGUGGGGAAUAUUGCACAAUGGGGGAAACCCUGAUGCAGCCAACGCCGCGUGAGUGAUGACGGUCUUCGGAUUGUAAAGCUCUGUCUUCAGGGACGAUAAUGACGGUACCUGAGGAGGAAGCCACGGCUAACUACGUGCCAGCCGCAGC